CCCAGCAAAAAGGAAGUAUGAGUGGAUCAGCUCAGCCUUUGGGAAGAAGAGAAGGAGGAGGAGGAAGAAGAAGAAGGAGGCCUAUUUCAGUUACCUGGGGAAAAUCCUAAUGCAAUUGUUUCUCCUGGGAUUCCGCACCACUGGCCCUGAGUUUUCUAAGAGGAUGGAAAGUCUACAGCCCAGAGUCAUAGGACCCCAGGCCUGGAAGAGGCCACGAGAGAUCAUGUGGUUUAGCUUCUUAGCUCAAGGGCACCAAAUGUCUAAAUCAUGCAAGACAAACAUUCUCAGAGACGCUUCAAGAAAUGGAGA